GUUAAGAGUCCACAAACCAUCAUCUCUAUAAUAUUGGUCAGUUUGGUCCUUUUUGUGAGAAUUGUGUAUUUUGUCAUUUUUAUGGUUGAUUUUUGAUUUCUGUUUGUUAAUGAAUCGUACCAUUACUUUCACCAUUCGGUCAAGGACUGACAAAAUAAUUGUUAUUUCAUGUUUUGUAUCAUAAAAUGUCUCUGUCAGGUUUACUUGUAACAAGUUCAAGUCGAUUAAAUCUUAUAUUAUUUUAUCUCAGUGAGCAUCUUAUUGUAAAUCUCAUUUAUAAAAGGUAAGCAACAAACAGAUUUGAAUUUGGAUUCAAAUAUACACAAUAUCAUUCUAAAUUUUACAUUAAUUUGAAUAUCAUUAACCUAACAAUUCUAGUAUCUUAAAUAUCACUCGGAUUUUGAUUCAUUUUACCUGUAUAUUUAUAUAUGAAUAGAUUUGUUAGUUCGCCUAUUACAUGGUUAAACAUUAUUGUAAGUAUACGUACAUUUAUAUACUAAAGACUUUUGACAUGUCCAGUAUUUAAUAACUUGCGUAAAAGAUAUACGCAAUCCAUGUACAUGUAUAAUAUAUUUCACCAGGCCGAUUUUUAUCAAUAAACACAUUAAAGUAUACUUUUUAAAUAAAGUGUUUUU
rnacentral:sRNA from 1 species